GUAAAAAGUAGAAUAAUAGAUUUGAAAUAUUUAUUAUAUAGAUUUAAAGAGAUAAUCAUGGAGUAUAAUAAUUAAAUUUAAUAAAUUUAAUAUAACUAUUAAUAGAAUUAGGUUACUAAUAAAUUAAUAACAAUUAAUUUUAAAACCUAAAGGUAAACCUUUAUAUUAAUAAUGUUAUUUUUUAUUAUAUUUAUAAUAAGAAUAAUUAUUAAUAAUAAUAAACUAAGUGAACUGAAACAUCUAAGUAACUUAAGGAUAAGAAAUCAACAGAGAUAUUAUGAGUAUUGGUGAGAGAAAAUAAUAAAGGUCUAAUAAGUAUUAUGUGAAAAAAAUGUAAGAAAAUAGGAUAACAAAUUCUAAGACUAAAUACUAUUAAUAAGUAUAGUAAGUACCGUAAGGGAAAGUAUGAAAAUGAUUAUUUUAUAAGCAAUCAUGAAUAUAUUAUAUUAUAUUAAUGAUGUACCUUUUGUAUAAUGGGUCAGCAAGUAAUUAAUAUUAGUAAAACAAUAAGUUAUAAAUAAAUAGAAUAAUAUAUAUAUAUAAAAAAAUAUAUUAAAAUAUUUAAUUAAUAUUAAUUGACCCGAAAGCAAACGAUCUAACUAUGAUAAGAUGGAUAAACGAUCGAACAGGUUGAUGUUGCAAUAUCAUCUGAUUAAUUGUGGUUAGUAGUGAAAGACAAAUCUGGUUUGCAGAUAGCUGGUUUUCUAUGAAAUAUAUGUAAGUAUAGCCUUUAUAAAUAAUAAUUAUUAUAUAAUAUUAUAUUAAUAUUAUAUAAAGAAUGGUACAGCAAUUAAUAUAUAUUAGGGAACUAUUAAAGUUUUAUUAAUAAUAUUAAAUCUCGAAAUAUUUAAUUAUAUAUAAUAAAGAGUCAGAUUAUGUGCGAUAAGGUAAAUAAUCUAAAGGGAAACAGCCCAGAUUAAGAUAUAAAGUUCCUAAUAAAUAAUAAGUGAAAUAAAUAUUAAAAUAUUAUAAUAUAAUCAGUUAAUGGGUUUGACAAUAACCAUUUUUUAAUGAACAUGUAACAAUGCACUGAUUUAUAAUAAAUAAAAAAAAAUAAUAUUUAAAAUCAAAUAUAUAUAUAUUUGUUAAUAGAUAAUAUACGGAUCUUAAUAAUAAGAAUUAUUUAAUUCCUAAUAUGGAAUAUUAUAUUUUUAUAAUAAAAAUAUAAAUACUGAAUAUCUAAAUAUUAUUAUUACUUUUUUUUUAAUAAUAAUAAUAUGGUAAUAGAACAUUUAAUGAUAAUAUAUAUUAGUUAUUAAUUAAUAUAUGUAUUAAUUAAAUAGAGAAUGCUGACAUGAGUAACGAAAAAAAGGUAUAAACCUUUUCACCUAAAACAUAAGGUUUAACUAUAAAAGUACGGCCCCUAAUUAAAUUAAUAAGAAUAUAAAUAUAUUUAAGAUGGGAUAAUCUAUAUUAAUAAAAAUUUAUCUUAAAAUAUAUAUAUUAUUAAUAAUUAUAUUAAUAAUAUAUAUAAUUAUAUUAUAUAUUUUUUUUAUAUAAUAUAAACUAAUAAAGAUCAGGAAAUAAUUAAUGUAUACCGUAAUGUAGACCGACUCAGGUAUGUAAGUAGAGAAUAUGAAGGUGAAUUAGAUAAUUAAAGGGAAGGAACUCGGCAAAGAUAGCUCAUAAGUUAGUCAAUAAAGAGUAAUAAGAACAAAGUUGUACAACUGUUUACUAAAAACACCGCACUUUGCAGAAACGAUAAGUUUAAGUAUAAGGUGUGAACUCUGCUCCAUGCUUAAUAUAUAAAUAAAAUUAUUUAACGAUAAUUUUAUUAAAUUUAGGUAAAUAGCAGCCUUAUUAUGAGGGUUAUAAUGUAGCGAAAUUCCUUGGCCUAUAAUUGAGGUCCCGCAUGAAUGACGUAAUGAUACAACAACUGUCUCCCCUUUAAGCUAAGUGAAAUUGAAAUCGUAGUGAAGAUGCUAUGUACCUUCAGCAAGACGGAAAGACCCUAUGCAGCUUUACUGUAAUUAGAUAGAUCGAAUUAUUGUUUAUUAUAUUCAGCAUAUUAAGUAAUCCUAUUAUUAGGUAAUCGUUUAGAUAUUAAUGAGAUACUUAUUAUAAUAUAAUGAUAAUUCUAAUCUUAUAAAUAAUUAUUAUUAUUAUUAUUAUUAAUAAUAAUAAUAUGCUUUCAAGCAUAGUGAUAAAACAUAUUUAUAUGAUAAUCACUUUACUUAAUAGAUAUAAUUCUUAAGUAAUAUAUAAUAUAUAUUAUAUAUAUAUUAUAUAUAAUAUAAGAGACAAUCUCUAAUUGGUAGUUUUGAUGGGGCGUCAUUAUCAGCAAAAGUAUCUGAAUAAGUCCAUAAAUAAAUAUAUAAAAUUAUUGAAUAAAAAAAUAAUAUAUAUUAUAUAUAUUAAUUAUAAAUUGAAAUAUGUUUAUAUAAAUUUAUAUUUAUUGAAUAUAUUUUAGUAAUAGAUAAAAAUAUGUACAGUAAAAUUGUAAGGAAAACAAUAAUAACUUUCUCCUCUCUCGGUGGGGGUUCACACCUAUUUUUAAUAGGUGUGAACCCCUCUUCGGGGUUCCGGUUCCCUUUCGGGUCCCGGAACUUAAAUAAAAAUGGAAAGAAUUAAAUUAAUAUAAUGGUAUAACUGUGCGAUAAUUGUAACACAAACGAGUGAAACAAGUACGUAAGUAUGGCAUAAUGAACAAAUAACACUGAUUGUAAAGGUUAUUGAUAACGAAUAAAAGUUACGCUAGGGAUAAAAAGAGUAGAUAUUGUAAGCUAUGUUUGCCACCUCGAUGUCGACUCAACAUUUCCUCUUGGUUGUAAAAGCUAAGAAGGGUUUGACUGUUCGUCAAUUAAAAUGUUACGUGAGUUGGGUUAAAUACGAUGUGAAUCAGUAUGGUUCCUAUCUGCUGAAGGAAAUAUUAUCAAAUUAAAUCUCAUUAUUAGUACGCAAGGACCAUAAUGAAUCAACCCAUGGUGUAUCUAUUGAUAAUAAUAUAAUAUAUUUAAUAAAAAUAAUACUUUAUUAAUAUAUUAUCUAUAUUAGUUUAUAUUUUAAUUAUAUAUUAUCAUAGUAGAUAAGCUAAGUUGAUAAUAAAUAAAUAUUGAAUACAUAUUAAAUAUGAAGUUGUUUUAAUAAGAUAAUUAAUCUGAUAAUUUUAUACUAAAAUUAAUAAUUAUAGGUUUUAUAUAUUAUUUAUAAAUAAAUAUAUUAUAAUAAUAAUAAUUAUUAUUAUUAAUAAAAAAUAUUAAUUAUAAUAUUAAUAAAAUACUAAUUUAUCAGUUAUCUAUAUAAUAUCUAAUCUAUUAUUCUAUAUACU
rnacentral:rRNA from 1 species